rnacentral:rRNA from 1 species
CGAUGCAACGCGAAGAACUUACCUGGUCUUGACAUCCCGGAGACCCUUAGGAAACUAGGGGGUGCUUCCAUCUGGAAGAAUCUGGAGACAGGUGCUGCAUGGCUGUCGUCAGCUCGUGUCGUGAGAUGUUGGGUUAAGUCCCGCAACGAGCGCAACCCUUGCCUUUAGUUGCCAGCAGUUCGGCUGGGCACUCUAAAGGGACUGCCGGUGUUAAACCGGAGGAAGGUGGGGAUGACGUCAAGUCCUCAUGGCCUUUAUGACCAGGGCUACACACGUACUACAAUGGCCGAUACAAAGGGCAGCGACACUGCGAGGUGAAGCCAAUCCCGUAAAAUCGGUCUCAGUCCGGAUUGGAGUCUGCAACUCGACUCCAUGAAGUUGGAAUCGCUAGUAAUCGUGGAUCAGCAUGCCACGGUGAAUACGUUCCCGGGCCUU